rnacentral:tRNA from 1 species
GCGCUGGUGGUGUAAGGCGAACAUCGCUGCCCGGAAAGCAGAAGAUGCGGGUUCGAGUCCCGCCUGGCGCC